ACAAAACACGUCUCAGUGGCGAUGCAACCUGUUGAGUGUAAACAAUACUAAAAAAUUGCGGCAUAGUAGCAAAUUCAGGUUGUCGUACCAUCAAUCUUGUGGAGGCUGAUGAAAGGAGUUCAUGGAGGAGGACAUAAAGACAGCUUCUGCAGCUUUGUGAUCAGUGAAAAGCUGCUCUUUGUCAUCAGAAAUCGCACUCCGUGUGCAGGGAUACCGGAGGGAGAACCUCAGUUGGAGUUCACGGAGCCUCCGCUUAACCGGGUCAAAGGAGCGACGCCUUUUCGUCAGGUCGGCACUGUAAUCCCGAUAGAUAAAGAUGCGACUCCCGUUAAAUAGCAGCUCUUUUUUUCCCCGGGCAAGCCGAAGGAUCUUCACCUUAUCCUGGAAGUUUAGCAACUUAAUCAAUAUUGGCCGCGGACUGGGUUUUGUCGCCCUGAAGAAGUGUGGGAGUACGAGGCGCUCUUUCCAUGGCAGGCAAAGUGGGGAAAUUAUCCUGCCCCAGGAUUUGAGGGCUCAAACGGGUUAUAAAAUCUAGCAUGUCGCGGCCUUCAACACCUUCAGGUACCCCGAUGAAGCGCAGAUUUAGGGAUCUACUCCUCUUCUCUAGAUUUUCCACUUUAGACAUUAAGUGAAGCUCAUUUUCCAGUUUUUCGACCCGAGUGAGGAGAUUGCUUGAGUUGUCUUCAUUUGCUCCCACACGCUGUUCCAUUUCUGAAACAUGUUCUCCUAGAUGAGUCAGGGAGACUUUCAUUUCACUCAGUGUAACACAGAUAGGUUCAACUUUGGUGUCAAAAUAGUCCAUUAAGUCUUUUGUAAUAAUAGUGUUUAUUGUUUUCCAUAUUGCUUUCACAUUAUAUUUGUUAUUCUCUAGUAAGUUAUUAUAAUAAUCCUUCUUACAUGCCCUCAUUAUGUUAGUUAAUUUGUUUUUAUAUUUCUUAUAUUUUAACUCAGAUUAUUUCAUUCUAUACUAUAUAAUUUGGUGUUGUAAGUGGUUUAAAUUACAGAGUCAGUUUGUUUUGGAGAGGAGGAGAACUAUGCAGAUAAUUCAGAUCCAGGUACAAACAUCCUGAACGCCUGGGUCAUUAGUUAUAAGAAAAAAAAGGUGAGCAAACUUUAUCAGCAGCCGAACCUAUUCCCUUAGCGACAUAUUGUACGUUUAACAAUGUAAGUAAAUAUUCACCGUUGACAGGACUACAAAAAUCUACUAAACCAUUAAUGUCACUGACAAGAUUCAAGGAUUGGUGGUGAAGAUAUGUUUGUUUAUGUUACCUCAAUACCUCAACUUACUACAAUUUUAAUUGAUACCAGCAUCAAUAAAGUCAUCAUCAUAGCAACACAACGGAAAAAUCACAACCCAACAUGACCAAACAGGCACAGGUUACAAAUAAACUUCCAUCUUACUAAAUUUAGAUUCAAUAUCAAAGUAACUAAAUUGUGUUUCUUUAAUGUGGCUUUUCUUUUUAUAAAAGAUCUAAAUAAUAUUUUUAAUCUUGGGUGUUUGAUGGAUAUAUAUGUAAUUUUUGCUAAAAUAAACUCAUGAUACAGACACGUGCUUAAUGAGAAUGCCAUGCUGAAAGGAAAGACUAUGAUCCCAACAAGCAGGUCAGCCACAGCCAGAGAGCGAAUAAGGUAGUUAGUAGGAGUGUGGAGCUGUUGGAAAUAAAAGACGGAGAUUAUAACAAAAAAAAGUUUCCACAUAUUGUGAUAACAGACAACAACAUUAGGAAAAAAUAUAAUAAUACACAUAUGAUGGAAGGAGUUUUUGUCAGUAUGAAAUUAAAGUUAUCUAUUUCAUAGCAGGGAUGUGUAAUUGUUGCUUAAAUUUAUCCACUUCAUUUUGCCGAAAUAAACUGGUUUCUCAUUA